UCUUGAAGACGGACCCUUGUGUUGUGUGUCAUUGUUAUGCCGGGGAUGUGCAAUGUGAACAGAGGGAAGGCUCCUGUACUCCUUGUGAGCAGAAGACUCAGGACUGUCUGAAUGAAGUUUCAGAACCUUUCAGCACUAAGCAGCUACAAUAUUCCCAGCAAGAUGCUGGACAAGUCAACGUUCCACUGAAGAUACUGAGUGCCACUAAAUCUCCAGUAUUUCUCAGUCUAUCUUUAUCACAAAAGCUGCUUACGAGAAGGAAUUUAGUUACUACAGUCUCAUCCUCUCCCAUCUCUAGUUCUGUUCCCCA